UACGAAGGGGGCUAGCGUUGCUCGGAAUCACUGGGCGUAAAGCGCACGUAGGCGGACUCUUAAGUCAGGGGUGAAAUCCCGGGGCUCAACCCCGGAACUGCCUUUGAUACUGGUAGUCUUGAGUUCGAGAGAGGUGAGUGGAAUUCCGAGUGUAGAGGUGAAAUUCGUAGAUAUUCGGAGGAACACCAGUGGCGAAGGCGGCUCACUGGCUCGAUACUGACGCUGAGGUGCGAAAGCGUGGGGAGCAAACAGG
rnacentral:rRNA from 1 species